UCCGGCUUAUCACCGGCAGUUUCCUCAGAGUGCUCAGCUUAACCUGUUAGCAACAGAGGAUGAGGGUUGCGCUCGUUGCGGGACUUAACCCAACAUCUCACGACACGAGCUGACGACAGCCAUGCAGCACCUGUGCUCCUCCCACCCGAGGUGAAGGAAAUCGUUUCUGACUUCCAUAGAGGGCAUGUCAAGGCCUGGUAAGGUUCUUCGCGUUGCCUCGAAUUAAACCACAUGUUCCACCGCUUGUGCGGGUCCCCGUCAAUUCCUUUGAGUUUUAAUCUUGCGACCGUACUCCCCAGGCGGGAUACUUAACGCGUUAGCUACGCCACUGAGAGGUAACCCCCCAACGGCUAGUAUCCAUCGUUUACAGCGCGGACUAC
rnacentral:misc_RNA from 1 species